UUGGAUUCUCUUGUGGAUCAAGUCAUACCCACAAAUAUGCAUCCAUAACAAAGAAUCCCUAACUUUUAUCAUGCAAAGAAAGAUAAAUGAAAGAAAAGGGGCAUGAUAUGGAUAAACGAGGUCUAGAACCCUUUUUAAGUUGUAUACUCUAGCAAUUUUUAACCUAAUACCCAGCAUACUGAAAUUGAAAUCAAGGGCAAUUUUCCAUCUCAAUUUUUCAAAAAUACAUCGCCUGUUUGACAUUAAGUUAGAAACUAUUUAUGCAACACAUCAAACGGUACAAGUAAGGUGGUUUUAGUUAAAGCACCCAAGGGGUGGUUUUGCUAAAAUUAGUUGUAAACACAAUUCCAAAUAGAUGAUUAAUAUGUUAUUAGCCAUGUUUUUGGAAUUGGGCUUCAGAAAAUCCAACAGCAAUGUGGACUGCCCUCUAUGCAUGGAGAUUUUGUUGAUGCUUUGUUAAAUCUAUAUAAAGCUAAGCAACUUGCAUGAUCAGAAAUCUUUUUUCAAUGCACUUCCCACCCUAUACUCUUAGCAGUUCUUGGAUUUGCAAGAUUAUCUACACCAAGUUGAACAGCAAGUUAUACUUUUUGCUACUACGUUUAAUGGAGUAUUGGAUUUAUGGCUCUACAGGGUAAGCCAAGUGGCCAGAU
rnacentral:misc_RNA from 1 species